rnacentral:piRNA from 1 species
AUGAAUCACAAUGUAAAUAUCUGUGCUUUC